rnacentral:rRNA from 1 species
GACGAACGCUGGCGGCGUGCUUAACACAUGCAAGUCGAACGGUGAAGCGCCUUCCUUUUUGGUGGGCGUGGAUGAGUGGCGAACGGGUGAGUAACACGUGAGUAACCUGCCCCCUUCUUCUGGAUAACCGCAUGAAAGUGUGGCUAAUACGGGAUAUUCUGGGUCUGUCGCAUGAUGGGUCUGGGAAAGAUAUUGUUUCGGUGGGGGAUGGGCUCGCGGCCUAUCAGCUUGUUGGUGGGGUGAUGGCCUACCAAGGCGGUGACGGGUAGCCGGCCUGAGAGGGUGGACGGUCACACUGGGACUGAGACACGGCCCAGACUCCUACGGGAGGCAGCAGUGGGGAAUAUUGCACAAUGGGCGCAAGCCUGAUGCAGCGACGCCGCGUGAGGGAUGGAGGCCUUCGGGUUGUGAACCUCUUUCGCCAGUGAAGCAGGCCUGCCUCGUCUGUGGGUGGGUUGACGGUAGCUGGAGAAGAAGCGCCGGCUAACUACGUG